rnacentral:tRNA from 1 species
GCACAUCGCUCAGCUGGUUAGAGUGUGGUGCUGAUAAUGCCAAGGUUGCAGGUUCGAUCCCCGUAUGGGACA